CUAUACAUGCAGUCGAGCGGACAGAUGGGAGCUUGCUCCCUGAUGUUAGCGGCGGACGGGUGAGUAACACGUGGGUAACCUGCCUGUAAGACUGGGAUAACUCCGGGAAACCGGGGCUAAUACCGGAUGGUUGUUUGAACCGCAUGGUUCAGACAUAAAAGGUGGCUUCGGCUACCACUUACAGAUGGACCCGCGGCGCAUUAGCUAGUUGGUGAGGUAACGGCUCACCAAGGCGACGAUGCGUAGCCGACCUGAGAGGGUGAUCGGCCACACUGGGACUGAGACACGGCCCAGACUCCUACGGGAGGCAGCAGUAGGGAAUCUUCCGCAAUGGACGAAAGUCUGACGGAGCAACGCCGCGUGAGUGAUGAAGGUUUUCGGAUCGUAAAGCUCUGUUGUUAGGGAAGAACAAGUGCCGUUCAAAUAGGGCGGCACCUUGACGGUACCUAACCAGAAAGCCACGGCUAACUACGUGCCAGCAGCCCCGGUAAUACGUAGGUGGCAAGCGUUGUCCGGAAUUAUUGGGCGUAAAGGGCUCGCAGGGGGGUUCUUAAGUCUGAUGUGAAAGCCCCCCGCUCAACCGGGGAGGGGCAUUGGAAACUGGGGAAUUUUUUGCAGAAUACGANAAUUAAUUCCACCUGUAUUCU
rnacentral:rRNA from 2 species